ACUCCUACGGGAGGCAGCAGUGGGAAUAUUGGACAAUGGGGGCAACCCUGAUCCAGCCAUGCCGCGUGUGUGAAGAAGGCCUUCGGGUUGUAAAGCACUUUCAGUAGGGAGGAAAGGUUGUACGUUAAUACCGUGCAGCUGUGACGUUACCUACAGAAGAAGCACCGGCUAACUCCGUGCCAGCAGCCGCGGUAAUACGAAGGGUGCGAGCGUUAAUCGGAAUUACUGGGCGUAAAGCGCAUGCAGGCGGCCUGUUAAGUCAGAUGUGAAAGCCCGGGGCUUAACCUCGGAAUUGCAUUUGAAACUGGCAGGCUAGAGUCUUGUAGAGGGGGGUGAGAAUUAUCAGGGUGUAGCGGUGAAAUGCGUAGAGAUCUGAAGGAAUACCAGUGGCGAAGGCGGCCCCCUCGAGCAAAGACUAGAC
rnacentral:rRNA from 1 species